AGAGUUUGAUCCUGGCUCAGGAUGAACGCUGGCGGUAUGCUUAACACAUGCAAGUCGAACGCAGUCCUUCGGGGCUGAGUGGCGGACGGGUGAGUAACGCGUGAGAAUCUGCCUAAAGGACUGGGACAACAGCUGGAAACGGCUGCUAAUACCAGAUAUGCCAGAAAGUGAAAAGGGGUAACCCGCCUUUUGAUGAGCUCGCGUCUGAUUAGCUAGUUGGUAGGGUAAAGGCCUACCAAGGCUCCGAUCAGUAACUGGUCUGAGAGGAUGUCCAGUCACACUGGGACUGAGACACGGCCCAGACUCCUACGGGAGGCAGCAGUGGGGAAUUUUCCGCAAUGGGCGCAAGCCUGACGGAGCAAUACCGCGUGAGGGAGGAAGGCUCUUGGGUCGUAAACCUCUUUUCUCAGGGAAGAACACAAUGACGGUACCUGAGGAAUCAGCAUCGGCUAACUCCGUGCCAGCAGCCGCGGUAAUACGGAGGAUGCAAGCGUUAUCCGGAAUGAUUGGGCGUAAAGCGUCCGCAGGUGGCAGUUCAAGUCUGCUGUCAAAGACCGGGGCUUAACUUCGGAAAGGCAGUGGAAACUGAACAGCUAGAGUAUGGUAGGGGCAGAGGGAAUUCCUGGUGUAGCGGUGAAAUGCGUAGAGAUCAGGAAGAACAUCGGUGGCGAAGGCGCUCUGCUGGACCAUAACUGACACUCAGGGACGAAAGCUAGGGGAGCGAAUGGGAUUAGAUACCCCCGUAGUCC
rnacentral:rRNA from 1 species